UACGGAGGAUCCAAGCGUUAUCCGGAUUUACUGGGCGUAAAGAGCGCGCAGGCGGUCGUUCAAGUCGCGUGUGAAAGCCCCCGGCUCACCUGGGGAGGGUCACGCGAUACUGAUCGACUCGAAGGCAGGAGAGGGUAGUGGAAUUCCCGGUGUAGUGGUGAAAUGCGUAGAUAUCGGGAGGAACACCAGUGGCGAAGGCGACUACCUGGCCUGUUCUUGACGCUGAGGCGCGAAAGCUAGGGGAGCAAACGGG
rnacentral:rRNA from 1 species